UACGUAGGGUGCAGGCGUUUAAUCGGAAUUACUGGGCGUAAAGCGUGCGCAGGCGGUUUCUUAAGUCAGAUGUGAAAGCCCCGGGCUUAACCUGGGAACUGCGUUUGAAACUGGGAGACUUGAGUGUGGCAGAGGGGGGGUGGAAUUCCACGGUGUAGCAGUGAAAUGCGUAGGAUAUGUGGAGGAACACCGAUGGGCGAAGGGCAGCCCCCCUGGGUUAA
rnacentral:rRNA from 1 species